CCCUUAGAUGUUCUGGGCCGCACGCGCGCUACACUGAUGAACGCAACGAGACCACCUGUACCGAAAGGCAUGGGUAAACUUGUGAAAGUUCAUCGUGAUGGGGAUAGAUUAUUGCAAUUAUUAAUCUUCAACGAGGAAUUCCUAGUAAGCGCGAGUCAUCAGCUCGCGUUGAUUACGUCCUUGCCCUUUGCACACACCGCCCGUCGCUCCUACCGAUUGAAUGGUCCGGUGAAAUCUUCGGAUUGCUGGAUAGGACUUCAUUGACCUAUCUGCGAGAAGUUGCUUGAACCUUAUCAUUUAGAGGAAGGAGAAGUCGUANCA
rnacentral:rRNA from 1 species